rnacentral:rRNA from 1 species
UAGUCCACGCCGUAAACGAUGAAUACUCGUUGUCUGCGAUAUACUGUAGGCGACUGAGCGAAAGCAUUAAGUAUUCCACCUGGGGAGUACGUUGGCAACAAUGAAACUCAAAGGAAUUGACGGGGGCCCGCACAAGCGGAGGAACAUGUGGUUUAAUUCGAUGAUACGCGAGGAACCUUACCCGGGUUUAAAUGCAGGACGAAAGUUCGGGAAACCGAACCCCUUCGGGCGGACUGCAAGGUGCUGCAUGGCUGUCGUCAGCUCGUGCCGUGAGGUGUCGGGUUAAGUCCCAUAACGAGCGCAACCCCUAUUGUUAGUUGCUAACAGGUUAAGCUGAGGACUCUAACGAGACUGCCACCGUAAGGUGUGAGGAAGGUGGGGAUGACGUCAAGUCAGCAUGCCCCUUACACCCUGGGCUACACACGUGCUACAAUGGGCAGACAAUGAGAUGCGACUCUGCGAAGAUUAGCUAAUCUAGAAACUCGUUCUAAGUUCGGAUUGCAGG